UUUUUUUUAUUCAUGUCUAGGACCAAAUUGUCUUUUUAAAAUAUUAUUGUUCAUUAAAUGAGGAUAAGGGUCAAAUUGUCCAGUAGGGAACAAAGUUUACUGAAGUGAGAGGUUGGAGAUCUCUGCUGCUUUUUGCUCUUUUUAUUCAGCAUAGGCUUGACAGGCUUAUCUCAUGUGAAAACAGUUACUGCUAAAGGGAAAAAAACAGUAAGAAUUGCAUUGUAAUAUAGGCUUCAUUUUUAACUUUUUAGGGAUUUUUUUCGGGAGACUUGUACUGGUUAUGAUUUAUUUAUAUAUAUUUAAAUACAUACAUUUACUAGUAAACCACAGGAUAUAUAUGACUUAACUUACAGAGUAUGGCAUCCUGGAAAACAAUUCAAACCAAAUUUUGCUAAUGUUUUUCUGCUAUCGUUUCCCAUAUUCAAAUUGUUGCAGGUGACUCCUCGUCUUCAAGAGUUGCAGCUAUUCAAAUUGCAGCAGCAGAACCAAACUGUCAGUGCGCCAACAGAUGAGAGAGAAAAUCUAGUUGGCAAAAAUGUUAAGGAAAAGAGAAAGCCAGUUUUGAGUUCAUUGGAUAAGCAGUCUCCAGCAAAACGUAGGAAAGAUUUGGAUCAGCAAAAUAAUAAAGCUUAUGGGAAUGAUAAAGGUAAGGGAAGACACUUGGCUGAAGCAAAUGAAAUUGCACAAGUACAUGACAGCAAAGAAGACAGUACUAGCACCAAGGAAACAAAGACUGCUAUCGUUUCCCAUAUUCAAAUUGUUGCAGGUGACUCCUCGUCUUCAAGAGUUGCAGCUAUUCAAAUUGCAGCAGCAGAACCAAACUGUCGGUGCGCCAACAGAUGAGAGAGAAAAUCUAGUUGGCAAAAAUGUUAAGGAAAAGAGAAAGCCAGUUUUGAGUUCAUUGGAUAAGCAGUCUCCAGCAAAACGUAGGAAAGAUUUGGAUCAGAAAAAUAAUAAAGCUUAUGGGAAUGAUAAAGGUCAGGGAAGACACUUGGCUGAAGCAAAUGAAAUUGCACAAGUACAUGACAGCAAAGAAGACAGUACUAGCACCAAG
rnacentral:lncRNA from 1 species